AAGGGUGAGGAACACGUGAAUAAUCUGCCCUCAAGUUGGGAAUAACUUUCCGAAAGGAAAGCUAAUACCGAAUGUGGUUGUUUUAUCGCAUGGUGAAACAACUAAAGAUUUAUCGCUUGGGGAUGAGUUCGCGUCCCAUUAGCUAGUUGGUGAGGUAACGGCUCACCAAGGCAGAGAUGGGUAGCUGGUCUGAGAGGAUGAUCAGCCACACUGGGACUGAGACACUGCCCAGACUCCUACGGGAGGCUGCAGUCGAGAAUCUUUUGCAAUGCGCGAAAGCGUGACAAAGCAAUGCCGCGUGCCGGAUGAAGGUCUUCGGAUUGUAAACGGCUGUCACUCGGGACGAAAACUGACGGUACCGAGGGAGGAAGCCACGGCUAACUACGUGCCAGCAGCCGCGGUAAUACGUAGGUGGCGAGCGUUGUUCGGAUUUAUUGGGCGUAAAGGGUUCGUAGGUGGUUUACUAAGUCUGACGUGAAAUCCCGUGGCUCAACCACGGAACUGCGUUGGAGACUGGUGAACUUGAGUAUUGGAGAGGUAAGCGGAAUACCAGGUGUAGCGGUGGAAUGCGUAGAUAUCUGGUAGAACACCGACAGCGAAGGCAGCUUACUGGACAAUAACUGACACUGAGGAACGAAAGCGUGGGGAGCAAACAGGAUUAGAUACCCUGGUAGUCCACGCCGUAAACGUUGUCAACUUGAUGUGGGAGGAUUUAGUCCCUUCCGUAUCGAAGCUAACGCGAUAAGUUGACCGCCUGGGGACUACGGCCGCAAGGCUAAAACUCAAAGGAAUUGACGGGGACCCGCACAAGCGGUGGAGCAUGUGGCUUAAUUCGAGGCAACGCGAAGAACCUUACCUGGGCUUGAAAUCAUAUGGACAGUCUAUGAAAGUAGA
rnacentral:rRNA from 1 species